CAGCUUGCUGGGCGGAUUAGUGGCGAACGGGUGAGUAAGACGUGAGUAACCUGCCCUUGACUCUGGGAUAAGCCUGGGAAACUGGGUCUAAUACUGGAUACUACCUCUUACCGCAUGGUGGGUGGUGGAAAGGGUUUUACUGGUUUUGGAUGGGCUCACGGCCUAUCAGCUUGUUGGUGGGGUAAUGGCUCACCAAGGCGACGACGGGUAGCCGGCCUGAGAGGGUGACCGGCCACACUGGGACUGAGACACGGCCCAGACUCCUACGGGAGGCAGCAGUGGGGAAUAUUGCACAAUGGGCGGAAGCCUGAUGCAGCGACGCCGCGUGAGGGAUGACGGCCUUCGGGUUGUAAACCUCUUUCAGUAGGGAAGAAGCGAGAGUGACGGUACCUGCAGAAGAAGCGCCGGCUAACUACGUGCCAGCAGCCGCGGUAAUACGUAGGGCGCAAGCGUUGUCCGGAAUUAUUGGGCGUAAAGAGCUCGUAGGCGGUUUGUCGCGUCUGCUGUGAAAGCCCGGGGCUCAACCCCGGGUCUGCAGUGGGUACGGGCAGACUAGAGUGCAGUAGGGGAGACUGGAAUUCCUGGUGUAGCGGUGAAAUGCGCAGAUAUCAGGAGGAACACCGAUGGCGAAGGCAGGUCUCUGGGCUGUUACUGACGCUGAGGAGCGAAAGCAU
rnacentral:rRNA from 1 species